rnacentral:rRNA from 1 species
AUGACGUCAAAUCAGCAGGCCCUUACGUCCAGGCUACACACGUGCUACAAUGGCCGAUACAGAGGGCAGCUACCUGGUGACAGGAUGCAAAUCUCCAAAGUCGGUCUCAGUUCGGAUCGGAGUCUGCAACCCGACUCCGUGAAGUUGGAUUCGCUAGUAAUCGCGCAUCAGCCAUGGCGCGGUGAAUACGUUCCCGGGCCUU